UAUCACGACCUGUUCCACGCACACCCUCUCCUGGUGCCAUCCUCGCGCUGGAUGCGAGCCAUCCUCUGGGCUAAUGAGCUAGGCGCGGGAGAUAACUAAUCCUAAUGCAAUUACUGCUCGGUGCAGCACUGAUAGGUCCACUGUGCUCCCCGCGUGCCCGGCAGCCUGAGCCAGGCUAGAGCAGCUGGGCCUCAGCCUCCUGUCGGAGACGUUUUGACAGCUGUAUACAGUCCCGGACCCCCUCCCACGGCCCGCGUCCCGGGAGAGUGAUCUUUUCACAGCGAGUCCCCAUGAAGCCUGUCGGAGGUAAACACAGUAUCCAUGUCUACAGCCUCACAAGCUUGGGAAGUAGAAGUGACUUCAUGGCCAGUUCUUGGAUGCUGCCAGUACCACUGGUGAGGAGGGCAGUGGAGACUUUAGGAUUUUCCACCUCAUUCAUAGUUCCUCGUAGGCAAACUUCCUGGUAAUUAAAGGCAGUAGUGAAAACAUCA